rnacentral:rRNA from 1 species
GAUGAACGCUGGCGGCGUGCCUAAUACAUGCAAGUCGAGCGAACAGAUGAGGAGCUUGCUCCUCUGACGUUAGCGGCGGACGGGUGAGUAGCACGUGGAUAACCUACCUAUAAGACUGGGAUAACUUCGGGAAACCGGAUCUAAUACCGGAUAAUAUAUUGAACCGCAUGGUUCAUUAGUGAAAUACGGCUUUGCUGUCACUUAUAGCUGGAUCUGCGCCGCAUUAGCUAGUUGGUAAGUUAACGGCUUACCAAGGCAACGAUGCGUAGCCGACCUGAGAGAGUGGUCGGCGGCACUGGAGCUGGGACACGGUCCAGACGCCUGCGAGAGGCAGCAGUAGGGAAUCUGCCGCAGUGGGCGGAAGCCUGGCGGAGCGAGGCCAAGUGAGUGGUAGAGGUCUUCGGAUCGUGAAACUCGGUUAUUAGGGAAGAACAAAUGUGUAAGUAAAUAUACACGUCUUGACGGUACCUAAUCAGAAAGCAACGGCUAACUACGUG